rnacentral:rRNA from 1 species
GGGCGCAAGCCUGAUGCAGCCAUGCCGCGUGUAUGAAGAAGGCCUUCGGGUUGUAAAGUACUUUCAGCAGUGAGGAAGGUGGAUAUGUUAAUAGCAUAUUCAUUUGACGUUAGCUGCAGAAGAAGCACCGGCUAACUCCGUGCCAGCAGCCGCGGUAAUACGGAGGGUGCGAGCGUUAAUCGGAAUUACUGGGCGUAAAGCGCAUGCAGGUGGUUUGUUAAGUCAGAUGUGAAAGCCCGGGGCUCAACCUCGGAAUUGCAUUUGAAACUGGCAAACUAGAGUACUGUAGAGGGGGUAGAAUUUCAGGUGUAGCGGUGAAAUGCGUAGAGAUCUGAAGGAAUACCGGUGGCGAAGGCGGCCCCCUGGACAGAUACUGACACUCAGAUGCGAAAGCGUGGGGAGCAAACAGGAUUAGAUACCCUGGUAG